rnacentral:rRNA from 1 species
ACGAACGCUGGCGGCGCGCCUAACACAUGCCAGUCGAGCGAUGAAAUUUUAACCGAUCUCUUCGGAGAGAAGAUAAAAUGGAUUAGCGGCGGACGGGUGAGUAACACGUGAGAAACCUGCCUUUCACAAGGGGAUAGCCUCGGGAAACCGGGAUUAAUACCCUAUGACACAUUUCCUUCGCAUGGAAGAAAUGUUAAAACUCCGGUGGUGAAAGAUGGUCUCGCGCCUGAUUAGCUAGUUGGUGGGGUAACGGCCCACCAAGGCCAUGAUCAGUAACCGGCCUGAGAGGGUGAACGGUCACAUUGGAACUGAGACACGGUCCAAACUCCUACGGGAGGCAGCAGUGGGGAAUAUUGCACAAUGGAGGAAACUCUGAUGCAGCGACGCCGCGUGAGCGAUGAAGGCUUUCGAGUCGUAAAGCUCUGUCCUAUGGGAAGAUAAUGACGGUACCAUAGGAGGAAGCCCCGGCUAACUACGUG